rnacentral:lncRNA from 1 species
CUAAAAUCUGUGACACAUCCUCUUCCGUGUCCUUCCCCUUUCACUGUGGGAUACAAAUGGGCACAAGGUCCCGGGGACGAUAGAGCCACACCCAGAAGAAGCCUGACUUCCCAAAUGAUUUUGUAGAGGGGAACUGCCCUGCUGACUAGAACCAACGUGGACUAUUUCUCCAACAGGAGAAAAGAAAGAAAUUUAACCUGUCCUCACUAAUGCAGUGAAGAAAUGGGCAAUGAGAACACUCUGCCAAGUGAAGGUGGCUGACAUUUGGGGAGAAACCUGCUCACCCUGAGAAUCACCUUGGAAUUACUGAAGGUGUGUCCAUCCCCCCUGAGAGAGUGCACAGCGAGUAGAUGUGUAGAUGAACUGCUGUAGCCAUUUUGCCUCCUCCAGGGAAGCUGGCCAUAAGCUGAGGCAGAUGCUACUGAAGUCAGAGAGAGGGAAAGAAAUAUGGGUCCCAGCUGAUACCAUUGAGUUGCUGGAGCAAACAACCCUGAUGUCUGUCAUAACAGUCCAGUUACAGAAGUCAAUACAUUCUAUUGUUUAAGCCAGUUUGUGUUGCAUUUUGUGGAAGAUGUAAAGAUGUGCUGUCCAGAUUCCUCUCUAAGAGAAGACUUGCUGUGCAGCUCAGAGGAGUGUGGUUAGAAGGCAGCCCCAGCUGUCAGCUUCUUCAGGAUCUGCCUCAGCUGUAGAGAGCCUUCUUGCUUGAGAUGGCACCCUUCCUGGGGCAGACAGUAUCCCGUAUAAAGGGCUGACCAUUUCAGCCUGACUCAGGAUACUUGGAAGGGCAAUACCCAUUUCAGAGCUUCCUCUCCAGUUUGCUGAGGAUUCCUUGGACCUGCAUAGCAGUUCAAUUUCUUCCUCUGACCAAUCCUGCUUCCUAUCCAUUCCUCAUAAGAAUCUUUCUCCCCAUCUCCAUAUGAGUGUCUACUUCUGAAAAACCUAGUCUGUGACAAUUUUUCUGCAACAUCAGGCAAAAGCAUCCUAACUGAGAUUCAGUGGGAUAGUCUGAACUGGGUCUUGUAUAGAGGAAGGGCAAUGCACUCAUCCUCUCUCUUAUUUUUAACUUUGUAUUGUGGAAAUUUUCAAGCAUACACAAAAAAUAGAAAGAAUGUAAUGAAACCCAAUAUAUCCACCUUCAACAAUAUCAAUAUAUGACCAAUCUUUAUCAUCUGAAACCUCUCAUACUAUUUUAAAAUGUCUCAGACAUUAUAUUAUUUCAUCCAUAAAUACCACAGUGCACUGAUGUUUGCUUUGAGAUGCAAUGCAAUGCCUUUGCAUUCUCCUCCCAAUCCAACUUGCAUUCUCCUUCCAACCCAACUGCUAUCUACUGUCUAAUCUUUUCUUCCUCUUCUCACCACCACAGCUUUCAAAAGAAGAAGUAUUUUAAUAGGAGAAAGGGGCAGUAAUAGUAGGGGAGAGAAGGGCCCAGAACUAAGCGUGGGAUCCAUUCAUUCUUUCGUUCAUUCAACAAAUAUUUUAGACCUGUCGUCUUCCAGAGUCUUGGGAUAGUCAGUUGUUAACCAUGUGAGUGGUUGUUCAGAUAGGCAGUGCAAUGAUGUCUUUGGUCAGAAAAACUAACAAGAGAGAAAGAGGAAGUGGGGAAAGGACUGAGGAAGACAAAGGAAAGAAAGAAAGAAGGAAAAAAAGGAAGGAAGGAAGUAUCACAGUGGGAAGUAUCAUCCAUUUUUUCCUAUUAGACUGGAGAAGACAAGGUUUACACCAGGGAGCACCUUUGAGAGGAAAAUGAGGCCGAGAGGUGAAGGGAUUUAAGGUCGUAUGGCUAGUUAAUAGCAGAGCUAGGCAUAGAACCCAAACAAGCUGACUCUGAGCCUUGUGUAAAUUAUGAUUGUUUGAAACUCUUAAAAAAGUGGUUCAAAUCAUUUAAAGUUUGCCUAAAACAUCAUAUUUUGUAUUUAUUUUUAUCAAGUUAUGGUAUAUUGGAAGCAAAGGGGGAAACAUGCACUAGUUGAAUGAAGAAACUAGAUGGAUCUAUGCUAACAUUAACAUUGAAUUAUUUUUCUUUAAAAGGUCUGCCUCCCUCACCAGAUAGGAAGCUCCUUGAAGGCAGGAGAUUAUUUUAUUCAUCUUUGUAUCCCUAAUGCCUGAAUGAAUAAAUGGAUAAAUGGAGUUAGGAGGCUUAUAUUCUAAAAUUACUGCCACUGGCUAACUUUGUGACUUCCAGCACAUUAUUCAAUUCCUAUGGUCCACAGAUUCAUUAAAAAUAUCAUUGACCAUUUUUCAUGACAGUGGUGGGAAAAAUCUUAAAUUUCACCUACCCCAACUAUAUUAUUCUAUGGGUCUAUGGGAUUAACUGG